rnacentral:rRNA from 1 species
CCUACGGGUGGCAGCAGUGGGGAAUAUUGGACAAUGGGGGCAACCCAGAUCCAGCCAUGCCGCGUGUGUGAAGAAGGCCCUCGGGUUGUAAAGCACUUUCAGUGAGGAAGAACGCCUGGUGGUUAAUACCCAUCAGGAAAGACAUCACUCACAGAAGAAGCACCGGCUAACUCCGUGCCAGCAGCCGCGGUAAUACGGAGGGUGCGAGCGUUAAUCGGAAUUACUGGGCGUAAAGCGCGCGUAGGUGGCUUGAUAAGCCGGUUGUGAAAGCCCCGGGCUCAACCUGGGAACGGCAUCCGGAACUGUCAAGCUAGAGUGCAGGAGAGGAAGGUAGAAUUCCCGGUGUAGCGGUGAAAUGCGUAGAGAUCGGGAGGAAUACCAGUGGCGAAGGCGGCCUUCUGGACUGACACUGACACUGAGGUGCGAAAGCGUGGGUAGCAAACAGGAUUAGAUACCCGAGUAGUC